rnacentral:rRNA from 1 species
AUACGGAAGGUCCGGGCGUUAUCCGGAUUUAUUGGGUUUAAAGGGAGCGCAGGCGGAGAUGCAAGCGUGACGUCAAAUUUCGGGGCUCAACCCCGUCUCGCGUCGCGAACUGCGUCCCUUGGUUGCGGGAAGGGGAGGCGGAACUCGUGGUGUAGCGGUGAAAUGCAUAGAUAUCACGAAGAACUCCGAUCGCGAAGGCAGCCUUCCGGCCCGUCAACGACGCUCAUGCUCGAAGGUGCGGGUAUCAAACAGGAUUAGAUACCCUGGUAGUCCGCACAGUAAACGAUGGACACCCGCGGUUUGGCCUAUAUGGCUGAGCCGCCAAGCGAAAGCGUUAAGUGUCCCACCUGGGGAGUACGCCGGCAACGGUGAAACUCACAGGAAUUGACGGGG